rnacentral:rRNA from 1 species
GUGGGGAAUUUUGGACAAUGGGCGAAAGCCUGAUCCUGCCAUGCCGCGUGCAGGAUGAAGGCCUUCGGGUUGUAAACUGCUUUUGUACGGAACGAAAAGACUCCUUCUAAUAAAGGGGGUCCAUGACGGUACCGUAAGAAUAAGCACCGGCUAACUACGUGCCAGCAGCCGCGGUAAUACGUAGGGUGCAAUCGUUAAUCGGAAUUACUGGGCGUAAAGCGUGCGCAGGCGGUUAUAUAAGACAGAUGUGAAAUCCCCGGGCUCAACCUGGGAACUGCAUUUGUGACUGUAUAGCUAGAGUACGGUAGAGGGGGAUGGAAUUCCGCGUGUAGCAGUGAAAUGCGUAGAUAUGCGGAGGAACACCGAUGGCGAAGGCAAUCCCCUGGACCUGUACUGACGCUCAUGCACGAAAGCGUGGGGAGCAAACAGGAUUAGAAACCCUUGUAGUCC